rnacentral:tRNA from 1 species
GCCCCGGUAGUGUAGCGGUUAUCAUGCGAGCCUGUCGAGCUCGCGACCCGAGUUCAAAGCCGUGUCGCAUGCAUGCGGCAUGGAUGAAAAUCUCGGCCGGGGCG